rnacentral:rRNA from 1 species
CAGCAGCCACGGUAAUACAGAGGGUGCGAGCGUUAAUCGGAUUUACUGGGCGUAAAGCGUGCGUAGGCGGCUUUUUAAGUCGGAUGUGAAAUCCCUGAGCUUAACUUAGGAAUUGCAUUCGAUACUGGGAAGCUAGAGUAUGGGAGAGGAUGGUAGAAUUCCAGGUGUAGCGGUGAAAUGCGUAGAGAUCUGGAGGAAUACCGAUGGCGAAGGCAGCCAUCUGGCCUAAUACUGACGCUGAGGUACGAAAGCAUGGGGAGCAAACAGGAUUAGAUACCCCAGUAGUCCCUGUCUUUAUACA